rnacentral:rRNA from 1 species
GUCCACGCCGUAAACGUUGGGCACUAGGUGUGGGGUCUUAUCAACGGAUUCCGUGCCGUAGCUAACGCAUUAAGUGCCCCGCCUGGGGAGUACGGCCGCAAGGCUAAAACUCAAAGGAAUUGACGGGGGCCCGCACAAGCGGCGGAGCAUGUUGCUUAAUUCGAGGCAACGCGAAGAACCUUACCUGGAUUGAACUACGCAGGAAAAGCCACAGAGAUGUGGUGUCCUUCGGGGCCUGUGAUAGGUGGUGCAUGGCUGUCGU